CAGUCGCCGCGGUAAUACAGAGGGUGCAAGCGUUAAUCGGAUUUACUGGGCGUAAAGCGUGCGUAGGCGGCUUCUUAAGUCGGAUGUGAAAUCCCUGAGCUUAACUUAGGAAUUGCAUUCGAUACUGGGAAGCUAGAGUAUGGGAGAGGAUGGUAGAAUUCCAGGUGUAGCGGUGAAAUGCGUAGAGAUCUGGAGGAAUACCGAUGGCGAAGGCAGCCAUCUGGCCUAAUACUGACGCUGAGGUACGAAAGCAUGGGGAGCAAACAGGAUUAGAUACCCCUGUAGUCCCUGUCUCUUAUAC
rnacentral:rRNA from 1 species